rnacentral:tRNA from 1 species
GCCAGAGUGGCGGAAUUGGCAGACGCGCUGGACUCAAAAUCCAGUGUCCGUUGAGGACGUGAGGGUUCGAGUCCCUCCUCUGGUA